AUUGAACGCUGGCGGCAUGCCUUACACAUGCAAGUCGAACGGCAGCACGGGUGCUUGCACCUGGUGGCGAGUGGCGAACGGGUGAGUAAUACAUCGGAACAUGUCCUGUAGUGGGGGAUAGCCCGGCGAAAGCCGGAUUAAUACCGCAUACGAUCUACGGAUGAAAGCGGGGGACCUUCGGGCCUCGCGCUAUAGGGUUGGCCGAUGGCUGAUUAGCUAGUUGGUGGGGUAAAGGCCUACCAAGGCGACGAUCAGUAGCUGGUCUGAGAGGACGACCAGCCACACUGGGACUGAGACACGGCCCAGACUCCUACGGGAGGCAGCAGUGGGGAAUGUUGGACAAUGGGCGAAAGCCUGAUCCAGCAAUGCCGCGUGUGUGAAGAAGGCCUUCGGGUUGUAAAGCACGUUUGUCCGGAAAGAAAUCCUUGGCCCUAAUACGGUCGGGGGAUGACGGUACCGGAAGAAUAAGCACCGGCUAACUACGUG
rnacentral:rRNA from 1 species